AACGAACGCUGGCGGCAUGCCUAACACAUGCAAGUCGAACGAGACCUCCGGGUCUAGUGGCGCACGGGUGCGUCACGCGUGGGAACCUGCCCUUAGGUUCGGAAUACCUCCCCGAAAGGGGUGCUAAUACCGGAUAAGGUCUUCGGACCAAAGAUUUAUCGCCUUUGGAUGGGCCCGCGUUGGAUUAGCUAGUUGGUAGGGUAAAAGCCUACCAAGGCGACGAUCCAUAGCUGGUCUGAGAGGAUGAUCAGCCACACUGGGACUGAGACACGGCCCAGACUCCUACGGGAGGGAGCAGUGGGGAAUAUUGGACAAUGGGCGAAAGCCUGAUCCAGCAAUGCCGCGUGAGUGAUGAAGGCCUUAGGGUUGUAAAGCUCUUUUACCCGGGAUGAUAAUGACAGUACCGGGAGAAUAAGCUCCGGCUAACUCCGUG
rnacentral:rRNA from 1 species